rnacentral:rRNA from 1 species
UACGUAGGGUGCGAGCGUUAAUCGGAUUUACUGGGCGUAAAGCGUGCGCAGGCGGCCCGUUAAGACAGGUGUGAAAUCCCUGGGCUCAACCUAGGAAUUGCGCUUGUGACUGGCGGGCUCGAGUACGGUAGAGGGGGGUGGAAUUCCAGGUGUAGCAGUGAAAUGCGUAGAGAUCAGGAGGAACACCGAUGGCGAAGGCAGCCCCCUGGGCCUGUACUGACGCUCAUGCACGAAAGCGUGGGGAGCAAACAGG